GAUGAACUGAUUCUCUGAUGGGACAUUAGUCCCUUAGCAGAGGUGAGGAACCUCUGCUGGGCUCAUCUCCUCAUUCACCAGAUGCACCAGCAGAGGCCUGUCUGGGACUCACGCUGGGAUCACUGGCAAAGGCUAUUGGGAGGCUCACAGGUGGAUGAAAAUGGUGUCUGCCGAAAGCUCUUAGGAUGAAAAUGGUGCCUGCCACAGGCUCUUUACUUAGGAUGAAAAUGGUGUCUGCCACAGGCUCUUUACUUAGGAUGAAAAUGGUGUCUGCCACAGGCUCUAUACUUAGUCAUUUGUUGCAUUUCUGGAAAUAAGUA
rnacentral:lncRNA from 1 species